GACGAACGCUGGCGGCGUGCUUAACACAUGCAAGUCGAACGGUAAGGCCCUCCGGGGUACACGAGUGGCGAACGGGUGAGUAACACGUGGGUGAUCUGCCCUGCACUUCGGGAUAAGCCUGGGAAACUGGGUCUAAUACCGGAUAGGACCUCUGCCUGCAUGGGUGGUGGUGGAAAGCUUUUUCGGUGUGGGAUGCGCCCGCGGCCUAUCAGCUUGUUGGUGGGGUGGUGGCCUACCAAGGCGACGACGGGUAGCCGGCCGGGGAGGGGGACCAGCCACGCUGGGACAGUGAGACGGCCCAGACUCCUAAGGGAGGAGACAGUGGGGAAUAGUGCACAAUGAGGGAAGGCAUGAUGCAGCGACGCCGCGUGAGGGAAGACGCCCUUCGAGUUGUAAACCUAUUUCAGCACCGACAAAGCGCAAGUGACGGUAGGUGCAGAAGAAGGACCGGCCAACUACGUGCCAGCAGCCGCCGUAA
rnacentral:rRNA from 1 species